UCACAUAUUCAUAUUCUUCUUCUUUGGUGAAUUUCAUUGCAUUUUUCUUUUUUUGUUUCUUUUCUUUCUUUGGUGGUUUAUAACCUCUUGGUUUAACUUUGAUAAACAAGAAGGUGAAUCCAAAGAUGAAUGGCAUGGUAACAAUAUCAGCGAAGAUACCAGCAAGAAGGGAUUGAACCCAAUUUUGUUGUUUGGUACCAAAGGUUAACGCAUUCGAUAAAAGAGAUCCGAAAAUGAUCACCAUAACAAUCGUU
rnacentral:ribozyme from 15 species